AUUGCUUCUCAGCCUUUUGGCUAAGAUCAAGUGUAGUAUCUGUUCUUAUCAGAACUAUAUUUGUGAAAUACAUUAAAUCUGUUAUAUUUAUAACAAAAAUAUUAAAAAAGAAUUGGUCCACUUCAU
ensembl:snRNA U2 U2 spliceosomal RNA